GGGGAGAUGCAGGAGUGGCUUAACUGGCACGCCUGGAGAGCGUGUAGGCUCAAAAGGCCUCGUGGGUUCAAAUCCCACUCUCCCCG
rnacentral:tRNA from 1 species